rnacentral:rRNA from 1 species
AUUGAACGCUGGCGGCAGGCCUAACACAUGCAAGUCGAGCGGAUGAAGGGAGCUUGCUCCUGGAUUCAGCGGCGGACGGGUGAGUAAUGCCUAGGAAUCUGCCUGGUAGUGGGGGAUAACGUCCGGAAACGGGCGCUAAUACCGCAUACGUCCUGAGGGAGAAAGUGAGGGAUCUUCGGACCUCACGCUAUCAGAUGAGCCUAGGUCGGAUUAGCUAGUUGGUGGGGUAAAGGCCUACCAAGGCGACGAUCCGUAACUGGUCUGAGAGGAUGAUCAGUCACACUGGAACUGAGACACGGUCCAGACUCCUACGGGAGGCAGCAGUGGGGAAUAUUGGACAAUGGGCGAAAGCCUGAUCCAGCCACGCCGCGUGUGUGAAGAAGGUCUUCGGAUUGUAAAGCACUUUAAGUUGGGAGGAAGGGCAGUAAGUGAAUACCUUGCUGUUUUGACGUUACCAACAGAAUAAGCACCGGCUAACUUCGUG